rnacentral:tRNA from 1 species
CCUGGGAUGCGGCAGUUCGAGCCGGUCGUCGGCGAGGCGGACGCCGCGGACGUCGAUGAGGUCGAGGUCGAGCGUGCGGUCGCCCCACCGGGUC